AUGUCUAAAAUUUUAUUUUCAGAUGAUGGAAAUGUUGCAAGAAAUGUACACUAUGGAUUUAAAAACGACAUCCCUAGUGAUACGAAGUAUGUCCCUUGGAUGAGAACUGACAUUCUCUUCAGAGUGAUUAGGGCAGAGACAGAGGGCAGAAGAGUCAAAAAGAUCAAAGAACAUAAUACGACAUAAGUGAAAUUGCCUCCUACGUGAACUCAAAUGAGGAUGGAAUUGAUUAAAGAGCUGACAGUGCAAUAAAUUUUAAAUUCCAUUGGAAUUGUUUACA
rnacentral:lncRNA from 1 species